rnacentral:rRNA from 1 species
UAGGGAAUCUUCCGCAAUGGACGAAAGUCUGACGGAGCAACGCCGCGUGAGUGAAGAAGGAUUUCGGUUCUUAAAACUCUGUUGUUAGGGAAGAAAAAAUGUAUAGUAACUAUAUACAAAAGAGACGGUACCUAACCAGACAGCCACGGCUAACUACGUGCCAGCAGCCGCGGUAAUACGUAGGUGGCAAGCGUUGUCCGGAAUUAUUGGGCGUAAAGCGCGCGCAGGUGGUUUAGAAAGUCUGAUGUGAAAGCCCACGGCUCAACCGUGGAGGGUCAUUGGAAACUAAUAAACUUGAGUGCAGGAGAGAAAAGUGGAAUUCCUAGUGUAGCGGUGAAAUGCGUAGAGAUUAGGAGGAACACCGGUGGCGAAAGCGGCUUUUUGGCCUGCAACUGACACUGAGGCGCGAAAGCGUGGGGAGCAAACAGG